UACGGGGGGGGCAAGCGUUGUUCGGAAUUACUGGGCGUAAAGGGCUCGUAGGCGGCCAACUAAGUCAGACGUGAAAUCCCUCGGCUUAACCGGGGAACUGCGUCUGAUACUGGAUGGCUUGAGUUCGGGAUAGGGAUGUGGAAUUCCAGGUGUAGCGGUGAAAUGCGUAGAUAUCUGGAGGAACACCGGUGGCGAAGGCGGCAUCCUGGACCGACACUGACGCUGAUGAGCGAAAGCCAGGGGAGCAAACGGG
rnacentral:rRNA from 1 species